rnacentral:rRNA from 1 species
GAUGAACGCUAGCGGCAGGCUUAAUACAUGCAAGUCGAGGGGCAGCAUGAAGUAGCAAUACUUUGAUGGCGACCGGCAAACGGGUGCGGAACACGUACACAACCUCCCUUUAAGUGGGGAAUAGCCCAGAGAAAUUUGGAUUAAUACCCCGUAACACAACGAAGCGGCAUCACUUUGCUGUUAUAGUUUCGACGCUUAAUGAUGGGUGUGCGUAUGAUUUGAUAGUUGGCGAGGUAACGGCUCACCAAGUCUACGAUCAUUAGCUGAUGUGAGAGCAUGAUCAGCCACACGGGCACUGAGACACGGGCCCGACUCCUACGGGAGGCAGCAGUAAGGAAUAUUGGUCAAUGGACGCAAGUCUGAACCAGCCAUGCCGCGUGAAGGAUUAAGGUCCUCUGGAUUGUAAACUUCUUUUAUAUGGGACGAAAAAAGGUCUUUCUAGACCCCUUGACGGUACCAUAUGAAUAAGCACCGGCUAACUCCGUGACAGCCGCCGCGGUAAAAC